rnacentral:rRNA from 1 species
GAUGAACGCUGGCGGCAUGCCUAAGACAUGCAAGUCGAACGAGAUGGCCCAGUGAAGGUUGCGUGCUUGCACAAGACUGAAUCUGGAUCACCAUCUAGUGGCAGACGGGUGAGUAACACGUGGGUGACCUACCUUUUCGUUGGGGAUAACAGUUGGAAACGAUUGCUAAUACCGAAUAAAAUAUAAGAGCCAAUUUUAUAUUGAAAGGAGCCUUUAAAGCUUCGCGAUUAGAUGGGCCUGCGGCGUAUUAACUUGUUGGUGAGGUAACGGCUCACCAAGGUAACGAUGCGUAGCCGAACUGAGAGGUUGAUCGGCCACACUGGGACUGAGACACGGCCCAGACUCCUACGGGAGACAGCAGUUAGGAAUAUUCGUCAAUGGGGGAAACCCUGAACGAGCAAUGCCGCGUGAGUGAUGACGGUCCUUUGGAUUGUAAAACUCUGUUGUAUGGAAAAAAAUGACUAGGUUAGGAAAUGAACCUAGUGUGAUGGU